rnacentral:rRNA from 1 species
AACAUACCCUUUCCUGCGGAAUAGCUCCGGGAAACUGGAAUUAAUACCGCAUACGCCCUACGGGGGAAAGAUUUAUCGGGGAAGGAUUGGCCCGCGUUGGAUUAGCUAGUUGGUGGGGUAAAGGCCUACCAAGGCGACGAUCCAUAGCUGGUCUGAGAGGAUGAUCAGCCACAUUGGGACUGAGACACGGCCCAAACUCCUACGGGAGGCAGCAGUGGGGAAUAUUGGACAAUGGGCGCAAGCCUGAUCCAGCCAUGCCGCGUGAGUGAUGAAGGCCUUAGGGUUGUAAAGCUCUUUCACCGAUGAAGAUAAUGACGGUAGUCGGAGAAGAAGCCCCGGCUAACUUCGUGCCAGCAGCCGCGGUAAUACGAAGGGGGCUAGCGUUGUUCGGAAUUACUGGGCGUAAAGCGCACGUAGGCGGAUAUUUAAGUCAGGGGUGAAAUCCCGCAGCUCAACUGCGGAACUGCCUUUGAUACUGGGUAUCUUGAGUAUGGAAGAGGUAAGUGGAAUUCCGAGUGUAGAGGUGAAAUUCGUAGAUAUUCGGAGGAACACCAGUGGCGAAGGCGGCUUACUGGUCCAU